rnacentral:sRNA from 1 species
GUAAAGCCCUGGAAAGUGAAGUCCUUUUUCUGUCCAUUAACCAGGCGCUGAAUGGAUGGAAAAGCAAAAGCUUCCCCAGCCGGGCUCUGUGCUGCUCUCCCAAUACGCCUGCGCCGAGGCCCGGGUGUGCCCUCUCCCGGGUGACAGGAUGGUUUUGUUUCCUUGUCCGUUUAUUUCAUGGCAUCU